rnacentral:rRNA from 1 species
CUACGGGUGGCACCAGUGAGGAAUAUUGCACAAUGGGGGGAACCCUGAUGCAGCAACGCCGCGUGGAGGAUGACGCAUUUCGGUGUGUAAACUCCUUUUAUAUGUCAAGAAAAUGACGGUAGCAUAUGAAUAAGCACCGGCUAACUCCGUGCCAGCAGCCGCGGUAAUACGGAGGGUGCAAGCGUUACUCGGAAUCACUGGGCGUAAAGGACGCGUAGGCGGGUUGGAAAGUCAGGUGUGAAAUCCUACAGCUUAACUGUAGAACUGCACUUGAAACUUCUAAUCUAGAGUAUGGGAGGGGGAGAUGGAAUUAGUGGUGUAGGGGUAAAAUCCGUAGAUAUCACUAGGAAUACCUAAAGCGAAGGCGAUCUCCUGGAACAUUAUUGACGCUGAGACGCGAAAGCGUGGGGAGCAAACAGGAUUAGAUACCCGUGUAGUC